AAUGGGCGAGAGCCUGAACCAGCCAAGUAGCGUGCAGGAUGACGGCCCUAUGGGUUGUAAACUGCUUUUAUAAGGGAAUAAAGUGAGUCUCGUGAGACUUUUUGCAUGUACCUUAUGAAUAAGGACCGGCUAAUUCCGUGCCAGCAGCCGCGGUAAUACGGAAGGUCCGGGCGUUAUCCGGAUUUAUUGGGUUUAAAGGGAGCGUAGGCCGGAGAUUAAGCGUGUUGUGAAAUGUAGACGCUCAACGUCUGCACUGCAGCGCGAACUGGUUUCCUUGAGUACGCACAAAGUGGGCGGAAUUCGUGGUGUAGCGGUGAAAUGCUUAGAUAUCACGAAGAACUCCGAUUGCGAAGGCAGCUCACUGGAGCGCAACUGACGCUGAAGCUCGAAAGUGCGGGUAUCGAA
rnacentral:rRNA from 1 species